GACAGAGGGUGCAAACGUUGUUCGGAAUUACUGGGCGUAAAGCGUGCGCAGGCGGUUUUGUAAGUCUGUCGUGAAAGCCCCGGGCUCAACCUGGGAAUUGCGAUGGAGACUGCAAAGGCUUGAAAUCUGGCAGAGGGGGGGUAGAAUUCCACGUGUAGCAGUGAAAUGCGUAGAGAUGUGGAGGAACACCGAUGGCGAAGGCAGCCCCCUGGGUCAAGAUUGACGCUCAUGCACGAAAGCGUGGGGAGCAAACGG
rnacentral:rRNA from 1 species